GUGAUCGGCUACUUAAAUGUAACCAAUAAUAUAAAUGUUCUACCUCUUACGUUUUCUUCUAUGUUCCUAGUAUAGGAGUGCUAAAACUGAAGGAGAAGCGAUUUUGCUGUGGUUGUGUCAUUUAGUUGUCACUGUCAGCUGUCAGCACUUCCCAACAGUGUGUGAACCAGACAACAUGACCAGGAGCCUUACACCUGUGCAGGCUACGAGGAGAAGGAGGAAGCGAGGCAAGAGGAAAGGCGAAAACAGUGAGGAAGUAUAGAUGAAUUGUGUCUGCCUAGUUUCUGAAGGGCAAGUAUCAAUGGUGCCGUGGUGGGCGAAAUGACGUAUCGCUGGCAGGAACACACUCAUGGGUCGUCUUGCUUGUACAAUGGUAUAGAAGAGAUUCCUGAUGAGACACACACCCCAUGGAGACAAGAAGGAAACGAUGAAUAGCAAGAGUCUCCCUGAAGGCCACCACAACACCAGACCUCUGCCUCCCCAUCACCAAGGACUUGCCUCAUCACCACACCACCACAUGUCAGCCCCUCCAACACCUCCCUUACAUCAGUGACAGGUAUAGAAGAGAUUCUUAGUGAGACACACACCCUUUGGAGACAAAAAGCAAGAGAUGAAUAGCAAGAAUUUCCCUGAAGACUACCACCACCAUACCAGACAUCUGUCUCCCCAUCACCAAGGAUUUGCCUAACUGCCACACCACCACACGUCAGCCUUCCCAUCAUCUUCAGGACACCAGUGGCAGGAUACCAGUGGUCCUGCAAGCAUGUCAGGAUGAGUUUGUGCAGCUGUGUGGCAUUGACGAGUGCCGGAACAAGAAUGUCGGGUGUGUGUUAGCCCCUUUGCAUCAACACUCGAGAGUCAUACUAUUGGCAGUGCCGGCCAUGCAGGGUACAAACUCGUCAGGAAGUUCAAGUGUGAAGAUGAGGCCCUCCUGAACUGUCAAUGUCACUCUAUGGUCUGUCUUCUUAAACUUCUCAACCCUUCACCUUUCAUUUAGCAGCAGCCUAAAGAAACGUUGACAAGUGCGUGGAGUCGCCCAGAUCCUCUCCCUGUGGACCAUCCCCUCAGCAGUGUUUGAUCCGCCCAGCAGCACCAACGGUCAGGAAAAGGCUGUCAUUGAAAUGUCAAGUCCCUAAGCUGGCAUGGUGGUGGGUGUUGUGCUGGGCUCCCUUGGGGUUCUUUGCCUAGCUGUUGGGAUGUUUGUCAAGUUGUUGAAGAUUCGUCGACGUGUUAUCAUUG